rnacentral:lncRNA from 1 species
UAAUUGAUUAUGAGAACGUAAUUGAUUGGGUCUAACCUAAACUCAGAGGUGAUCAUUUGGGUCAGAGUUGACUAGCAAUUGAAACUUAGGGCAGAGAGGUAGUGAAUUCUAAAAGGUAGUCUAGUACUUUUGAAAAUGAGGGCACUUGUUUUAAUCUACAUUUUGGGCUGGAAUCCUCUGGAAGGACAUUUAUAGGGGAAAAAAUGGACCUUGGUUAAUAAGAUUUAGAUAGGUGGAGAACAGAGUAAAGACAAUCAUUGAUUCAUUUACUUAUUCCUUCAAGAAAUAUUUAUGAAACUGCAUCACAUACAGCAUCUCUGCAAAACAUUACUAUGAGGUGACAUUGUCAUCUACAGAUGCAACUCAAUCAAAAACAGCAAGUCUGAGCAGGAAACAGUAACAACAACCUUGUAACCCUGUAUUCACUGCAUUCUAUGCAUUUACCUCCAGCCAACCAUCUCACAAAGGUAA